UCUGUGUAGAGGGAGAAAAAGACAGUUGUAAUAAUCAAUGGUCUUGAUCCCAGCCUGUCCUAUACCUGUGAUUUCUAGAUGACUGACAACUUGAAAUGUCCAAAUAUAUGCUACAGUAUUUAGAAAAAAGCAGUAUUUUGAACCUUUUUGGUAGACAUUUUUAUGACAUACUGUAGUUCCCACAUUGUGCCAAACUGUGAAUGACCAGAAAAUUAUUUCUGGAAUAAAUCACAAUGGCUGGAUUCACAAAAAAUUGAAGGGAAAAUAUGGCUUGUUUAUAACUUAAUGUGUGAAGUGUAUUGAGUCAAGUACACAAACCAUGUUGUACAGUUUUAUGUAUUUUGUCUAUUAUUCCUAUGGGAUCUUUUCAGAAGAAAAGUUUUGCUACAACCAGUUGUGACUUAUUAAAUAUACCAAUAUUAACAAACAUGGCUUGUAGAGGUUUUGUAUACUGCAAGUAUAUUUGUAUCAACCAGAUGAAUUGAUAAAAGCCUCAUUCCCAAACAACAUUAAAGCAUGCAUUCAGCUCAUAGAUCAUAACUAAACCCAAAUUAAAUGUCAUAUAUUAAGCCCAACACCACUUGCAAAAUUUAGGAAUACUAGGACUGGAGAACUUUUUUUAAUUAUAGCUACUAACUACUAAGGUUAAUGGCUACUAACACUAAUUGGCAGAAAUACAAAAUAUGUUCCAGGAUUCCCUAUCAUAGAUAGAGAGGGAGCUAAAACUGGUGACCUAAUUAGGAGUUCACAAUUAAGUUUGCUCUAAUUUGCUAGUCACAUAUUCCUUCAGGAAGAACCUCCAUUCCACGAAUUGGAAUUUGAGAUACAAAUAAAAUGAUAAUGCAACAUGUAAAUUAAAAUCUUUGAAGCUUUAUGAUCAUUUUAAACAUCCUUUCCUCAUGCUCAGACGUCAGUAUCGUCAUUUGAAAAGCCUCUUUGGUUUAAAGAUAUGUAUCAACCUCUGGAGGAAAUAAGGAAAAAAGACAUGAUUGAUAAAUUACAUGAUGAAGAGUCCUCAGAAAAGGAAAACAUAUACAAUUGGGCUAGUGCAAGACCUCCAGAAAUCCCUGAGCUUAUUCCUGUGGAAAAACUGGAUCUCUUUGUACUUUUUUUUUUUAAGAAGGAGGAAAGAAAAAAAAAUUCUUUUGUUUAAAAUGGCUUCAAAACAUCAAGUUUCCACAGUACCUAAGAUGGCUUCUUCUCCGGCGAUAUUACCAGCCCAACAAACAUCUUCUCCUCCUAUACAACCACUCACGGUAAAAGACUUGCAAGAUGUCAUGGGAAAUGUUAUAUCUCAAAUUAGAGGAGAAGUGAAGGAGAUUUUAGUGGAGAAUAACAAUAUUUUGAGGCAAGAUAUAGUUUUGGCCCUAAAAGGACUUGCUUCUGUUGUUGAAAAGUUGGAUUCUUGUGUUGAAGAAGUAGUAGAUAAAGUGGAUAUAUUGGAGGAAAAGUUUGAAGGAAUGGAAAAAAAGAUGGAAAUUUCACAAGAUGAAAUUGUUAUGUCUCAAUACAGAGAGAUGGAGUAUGCUUUAAGAAUCAGAGGCUUGAGGGAAAAUACGCAAGAAAA